GGGCGGGUGGCGAAACUGGUAGACGCAGUAGACUCAAAAUCUACCUCCCGCGAGGGAAUAAGAGUUCGAUUCUCUUCCCGCCCA
rnacentral:tRNA from 1 species